CUCGUUUGAAGAGAUAGAAUCUAAUUCCCUAGCCUUGUCUCUGGACUGGCCUUAUGAUUCUCUUUAACCAUAGAAUGUGGGAGAAGUGAUGAUGUGCCUAUUCUAAGUCUAGGCCUCAAGAAGUCUUGAAAGAUUCUGUUCCCUCUUGGUUAGUCCACUGGAGGAUGAGAGACCCACGGCCCAAUAACCUCCAUUGCCUCGGCCAACAGACAGUCAACUUCCAGUCUCACCAUUGCCUAGACUACCACAGGGACCACAGACACAUAACGGUGCCCAGCCAAGACAAGAAGAAACAUCCAGCUGAGUCCAGCCUAAAUUGCUGAUCUGCAGAAUUGAAAACUUGGGAGGAAGACAUACUAUACCACAUGGUCCUUUCCUUUUUCUGUGGAUGGCAAAAAGAUGCAUCACUUCCCGGAGCUUAUGAUAGAAGAUGCUCCUUCGCCAGUGUGAGACACUUAAAAGGACAAUGAUUUGUGCAGGGAACUAACCCUGUGUGCUACGUGUCCUUUUGCUCCAUUUUACUGAUGUGACAAUUGGAGCAGAAUAGUUUAUGUGGCAAAUUUUCCCAGCAUUUAUUUGCACUGCUUACUACAUUCACAUUCUAGUUUACAAAUCUUGACAAAGACAACUGA
rnacentral:lncRNA from 1 species